CAUGGGAUCCUCAAUCGCUAGGCCACCAGGGAACUUCAAAAGGAUGCAUUCUUAAUGCCACAUCCUGGACCAGCUGGAGACUGGGGAGUAAAUUCAGGGGGUAGAAUGUCUAAUUUCUGUAUUAGUAGCACAAGAAGGAAGAGCUAGCCCUUAUUUUCACAUCAGAAACACUAGUGACAGGCGCCAGUCAGCAUCCAGCCCAGGCACCCAAGGAAAGGCAACAACAGACCUUUCCUGUUGAAUGGCUGAAUGCUGAACGGCUCAAACCCGAAUGCAGGCUGAAACGUCUAGACUUAUAAAGUCCUACCUGAGAGGCUGAGGAGGCUCACGGCCAGGACAGGCUGGAGAGGUUUAGGACCACAAUGGCAAUGGCUCCGGUCACAUCAUCAGCCUCAUCUAUCCCCCCAUGGCCCCCAUUAUCACCACCCAACUCCAGGCUCUAGACACGUGAGAUUAAAAUUAAGUGCCGUCUCAUACAGGUACAUACCCGCAAGCGCAUUCAUGCACACAUGUGUACACACACACACACACAAACAUCCACACAUAUGGGUUCUGUGCUCCAGCUGCCCCCUCUUGCUGGAGUACCCCUUCUCCCUCCUCUGACUGGCUAAUCCUCACUCACCCCUCAGGACUCAGGAAGGGAUCUUUCCUGGGAAACUUUUCUUGAAACGCUUAGACUAGCUCCAGAGACCAUCAUACGACCACCCACACAAGGCUCCCCAAACAGACCUUUCUCACGCCAUUUACCUAACAUCACAGAUUCCUCUCCUUCCCUCAGCCGUGAGCUAGAAACAGACAGAUCCUACCCAGCACAACGCUGGACACAUAAAGGGCAUUCAGUAAAGGCUCGUUCAAUGAAUAGGUAAGAACGGUGAGGAAAGAAAACCACCUAAGCCAUUCCAGGGGAUAUAUUUCUGUUAAAGACUUUGGUUUUUAUUGAAGAUAAAUGCAAAAUUCUGUUUUAACUAUUUUUAAGUCAUAAAUUUCCACGGUGUUUUUCUUUGAAGUAUCUAGCUACUCCAUUCUGAAGAAAUCCUUACAUGUUUCAUUGGCCAAUUACGUACCUUAUUUUAAAAUACUGUUUAGGGACACCACGAUGGCUGAUAAUGACAGCAUCUUCCUUCUUUGGGGGUUAUGCCACCGAGAGCAGCUCUCUGAUCAGUUAGAACCCAUGUUCCCACCAAGGCACAGACACACUUAAAUGUACCCAGCACUGUCUUGUGAUGCUGGCACAGUCUGUCUUGCUCCCAGGACAGCGUCCUUCCCUUCAGAGAGCUCCUUUACAAGGCUGAUCUCUGUGUCCCCAGAGUGGCAGACUGUGUCUGUCGCUGACUUUCCACCACUUACUAACGGUCUUAAUUGCAUUACAUGGAAGCUAAAGAAAGCGAGAGCAUUGAUGUCCUUUGCCACCAGCUGCUAGCUGCAUCUUUUAAAAUGUGAUAGCUAGGGACACUGCUGAAAUCCUUAGCACAUCCCUCUGGAAACAAGAAUUUGGACCUGUUUGGAGCUACAGUUUGUGGAUGGUGGGGGAUGGAAGCUGGAGGCAGGCAGGGCAUGAAGGCUGCCUGAAAGCCUUGGCAAUGCACCUGGGCUCCGGACAGGACACCAGUUUGCUGCCUAAACCUGGGUCUUCUUUCUCUUUUAAAAGGUUCUUCCAUGUGUGUGAAUUAGCAGCAAGGAGUCUUAGACAAAUGCAUGGGUGGCUGGGCUGAGAGGAGGAGGCGGAGGGUCCCUCAGGUGUGUACACAGGUACCUGCAGGAAACAGACAGUGGUACCUGCUACUUCACUCCUCCUAAGAGUGCAGCAUCUCUUUACAGUGGGGUUGAAACAGCACACGAGCCCAGCCAAUUACCCACUGACAGAAGACUCCACAGUUCGUUCACAUGUGGGGAGGUGUGGGUGUCCCACCCUUAAUUUUAAUUCAUGGUUCUUCAUGAAAUAUAAGUCUUACUGGAAGGAGUUCAAGGUCACAUUCACUAUCCUCUGCAGGACCUGCGGUCUCACAGAAGCCACUUCUCCACUAAAGUUAAGUGAAAGGAAGCAAAACAGUCACCAGCGGAGCAACGUACCGUAGCACACAGAGCAGACAAGCAGGUCUCCUAACUCCUAACUCAGGGAAAUUUCCACUUUUUACUCUGUUCUGUUUGUUAAUUGUUAAUCUGUGAGAGAGGCAUGCAAAGCAGAACAAAAGUGAAAAUGGGAGCUGCGGGCUGUGAACCCCCAAGGAGAGAUGCAAAUACCUGUUGGUGACGGGGGCGCUGGAGGUAGGCCACCUGCCCUUGAGUUGGUCAGAGCCCAGGGCUGCUGUCACUGCCUCUGGAAAUGUCAGAUUUCCAAUGGAGAGAGCAAAAGUGAUGGGAGGGCUUCUCUGGCUUGGGAUCAUGUCGCAUUGGUGCUAGGUCCACCAAACCCAGCGGGUCAGCAUGUAGAAACCUGGGGAAAUGACAGCUAGGAGGGGCUACCUCAGUGUCUUUGGAGUAACUGUGAACUUUUCUCUCCUGAGAGGCUUUUCACACAGAAGACCCGGAUGAUCAGUUGUUUCCACAGACUGCGCAAGGCUUGCAAGGAGCACCGUCCACAGGCCUCGUCUGUGUGUAGCUGGUCUGUCCGUUCUCCUCCCUGCUAAGCGUCUUCUGUCCUCUGUGUAAACUUGCCACCAGCCACCACCCCUUCUGCUGGGCCCUGGGGAAGAUGCAGAUUUGAGCAUUUAUCAACGAUGCAGCUACAAGCCUUUGGCUCAUGUCUUUCACACAUUGCCGUGGGGCAUUUAACCAGGAAUGGAAUUGCUGUAUCCUUUGAAAUUAAUUUUGCUAUUUACUACAUAAUUGAUGCUUACAACCUUCUGGAGGCUUCCAAGACCAAAGUCCAUUUAUUACCUGCAGAAAGAUUUGUUCUCUUUCACAUUUGCGCCUUUUGCAGCAUGUGUUACUACAACGGAGGUCAAGGCCAUUGAGUCUGUUUCAAGUCAUCAGCGCCACCAUUUGUAGAUACCUGGCACCACAAUACUUACCUUGGGUUUUUGCUCUGGCCUUUCUAAUGCAAUCCUGAACCAACCCCAACACAUCCCUGAGCUCGCUAAAGGAAUUUGGAAAAUAAUAACAGCUAGUUCUUAUAUACAGGCAAUAUACCGCCCCAUCUGGCUCCAUAUAAAGACAGGCAAGUGAAUAUGAAAUCUGACAUAUGUGGGCAGUGACCCAUAACAGCAGAACCUGGAGUAUGGUGUGUAUUUAUUAUUUCAUCAAAAUGAGAAUAAUCAAGACAAAGGGAUGAUUAAAAUCAUCCUACCCAACUUAGUAUUUCCAGAACUGAAGGUUUUAUUUUGGAUUUCUGAUGGCUAAGUUCCUUCCUGACCCUUCAUGUUUCAUAAGGAGGUUUCAACAGCUUUACAUGCCAAGUGGCAAAGGCAUUCAGGGAGCUUAUAUUCCUCUUUAUUUUCCAUAACAAACUAUGAGUAACAACUAGAGUUGUCUUUAAAUAACUGUGUGUGUGUGUGUGUGUGUGUGUGUGUGUGUAUUUUGGGGCUGAGAAUCAAAAGUUGACUGUUUGAAAGGGAACCUGGACAUCAUUUUGGGUUGCCAUUGUCUCAAGAGAGAAAAUGUCUCUUAAGCAUCUCCUUAACAGCCAACUGUCUGGAUGGAGCAGGUUUGUGUGUAGUUUUGUAACCAUUCCCCCCGCCCCCUGACCUUAAAUCUUCCUGAUCUUCACCUACCAUGUCUGGUUCCACUCUGGGUCUGGGAGCAGGGGAAAGAGCAACAGACAGGCCAUCUGCAGACAUUUAGUGUAAAAUCUGUCUCCUCCUUCUUGUGCUGUGAUGCAAACUGUCAAAGACUCACUUUUUUCAUGUAUAAAAUAGGGAUAAGAAAACCUACCUCAUAGGGCUGCUCUGAGUGUUAAGUAAAAUCGUGUAUGUGGAGACAUCCUGCAGGUGGUUAUACGAUAGGCAAAUAUAACGUCCUAUAUGAUUGUUAUUCUCUUGUGCAACAGACUCCUUCCAAAGGAAGAAUGUCCACGUUCAAGUUUUGUAUCAAACACAGUCACCAGGUGGAAAUCUGGAGGCACAAAGGCUCUAACCUGUUCCCAGAGCACACAGGCGACGCCCCAUUUCCCAGGGAAGGGUGGGGGCUGUGAAGGGAAGGGGGGUGAUGAGGAGAGAAGGUGGCGGCAGGCAGAGGAAGCAGAGAUCCUACAUCCCUGAACAGAAAUUCUGGAGAGAGGAAUCCAGUCAGAAUAUAAAGAAAACUCUAAGAAAUACUUGGAGAAAAAAAAUGAGCUGAUAUGAAAGAGGACUUCGGUCUGAAAACCGCUCGAGGACAUGUGUGACAGGUGAACUUGGCGGAAAGAAAAAGUAUCUCGACAUAUGCAUGGGAUUUGACAUUUCAUCUGUACAUAUGCAGGGAUAUAAAGGUAUCCUACAGAACCUUGACAGAAAGGGUGGGCCACCCCUGAAGGACCGUCACUGGGGCAGGAUCAGACUCUGCCGACCCCGAAGCCACAACUGGAGGAUGACAGAUAGCAGCAUCACCGAAAUCUGAGAGAAGGUUCUGGGCUAAAACCUCCAUCUCCUCUCCUGGGGAAGGCACAGACUCUGAUGUCCAAAGAUUGUAAAUACAGCACGGAGGCACUAGUGACGUAUUAAAACAAACUGAAAAGAACUAUGCGGGAACAGAAUUAAAAGACGUUAAGAAAUGAGAAGGAACUGGUAGCUGGAAAAAAGUGAUGCCACCACCAGAACCAGUGAAAUGUGUAGAAAUAAAACUAUAUGGUUUUAAAAAU